AACCGCGAACGGCUCAUUACAAUGGCCAUUAUUUACUUGAUCUUGAUUGUCUAAAUGGAUAACUGUGGAAAAGCUAGAGCUAAUACAUGCACUAAAGCUUUGUCCUUACGGAAAAGCGCAUUUAUUAGAACAAAACCACGCGGCUUCGGCUGCUUCUUGUUGACUCAGAAUAACUUAGCUGACCGCAUGGCCUUGUGCCGGCGGCGUGUCUUUCAAGCGUCCACUUUAUCAACUUGACGGGAGCAUAAUCGACUCCCGUGGUGGUGACGGAUAACGGAGGAUCAGGGUUCGACUCCGGAGAAGGGGCCUGAGAAAUGGCCACUACGUCUAAGGAUGGCAGCAGGCGCGCAAAUUACCCACUCUCGGCUCCAGGAGGUAGUGACGAGAAAUAACGAGACUGUUCUCUUUGAGGCCGGUCAUCGGAAUGGGUACAAUUUAAACCCUUUAACGAGUAUCAAGCAGAGGGCAAGUCUGGUGCCAGCAGCCGCGGUAAUUCCAGCUCUGCAAAUACAUAGAAUUAUUGCUGCGGUUAGAAAGCUCAUAGUUGGAUUCGUAUCGAUACCUUGGAACCCUUCGGGUGUCUCUAGGUGUUAUCGAUUUAUCGUAAUGUUCGGUUUUGAGUCCUUAACAGGAUUCUUAACAGGCAUUGCAAGUUUACUUUGAACAAAUCAGAGUGCUUCAAACAGGCGUUUUCGCUUGAAUGAUCGUGCAUGGAAUAAUAGAAAAUGAUUUCGGUUCAGUUUUAUUGGUUUUACGGACUGAGAUAAUGGUUAACAGAGACAAACGGGGGCAUUUGUAUGGUCCCGUGAGAGGUGAAAUUCUUGGACCGUGGCCAGACAAACUACAGCGAAAGCAUUUGCCAAGAAUGUUUUUAUUAAUCAAGAACGAAAGUCAGAGGUUCGAAGGCGAUCAGAUACCGCCCUAGUUCUGACCGUAAACGAUGCCAACUAGCGAUCCGCCGAUGGAAAUUAUAUUGCCUUGGUGGGGAGCUUCCCGGAAACGAAAGUCUUCCGGUUCCGGGGGAAGUAUGGUUGCAAAGCUGAAACUUAAAGGAAUUGACGGAAGGGCACCACCAGGAGUGGAGCCUGCGGCUUAAUUUGACUCAACACGGGGAAACUCACCCGGCCCGGACACUGUGAGGAUUGACAGAUUGAUAGCUUUUUCAUGAUUCAGUGGAUGGUGGUGCAUGGCCGUUCUUAGUUCGUGGAGUGAUUUGUCUGGUUUAUUCCGAUAACGAGCGAGACUCUAACCUACUAAAUAGUUGGUACAUACUCUUAGUGUAUACAGCUUCUUAGAGGGAUUUGCGGCGUUCAGCCGAAAGAAAUUGAGCAAUAACAGGUCUGUGAUGCCCUUAGAUGUCCGGGGCUGCACGCGCGCUACACUGGCAAAAUCAACGUGCUUGUCCUACCCUGAAAGGGGCGGGUAAACCAUUGAAAAUUUGCCGUGAUUGGGAUCGGAAAUUGCAAUUAUUUUCCGUGAACGAGGAAUUCCAAGUAAGUGCGAGUCAUCAGCUCGCGUUGAUUACGUCCCUGCCCUUUGUACACACCGCCCGUCGCUGCCCGGGACUGAGCCAUUUCGAGAAAUUUGGGGACCGUUGAUUUA
rnacentral:rRNA from 1 species